GCUGCCCCUACAGGCGUUGCAGGCAUGGCUUCUGUGCUGUGUUUGUGUCAAUAGGUGGCACAGAGAAGCAGGCUGGGUCUACGCUCAGUGCUCUGAUGGGUGGGCAACUCAGAAUGAUUACUAGCCUGACAAA